rnacentral:rRNA from 1 species
AACGCACCUUGCGCUCCCGGGAUAUGCCUGGGAGCAUGCUUGUCGGGGAGGAGGAGGC